rnacentral:rRNA from 1 species
UACGGAGGGUGCAAACGUUGCUCGGAAUCAUUGGGCGUAAAGCGCACGUAGGCGGCCUGUUAAGUCGGGUGUGAAAUCCCUGGGCUCAACCCAGGAAGUGCACUCGAAACUGGCAGGCUUGAGUACUGAAGAGGGUCGCGGAAUUCCCGGUGUAGAGGUGAAAUUCGUAGAUAUCGUAAGGAAGACCAGUGGCGAAGGCGGGUCUCUGGACAGUUCCUGACGCUGAGGCACGAAGGCCAGGGGAGCAAACGGG